CUCUCUUCCUCUCUUCCGCCGUGUUUUUGCCUUCUCUUUUCUUCCUUCGGCUUCCUAAAACCGCUUCCUUCACUCCCUCAGACAACUACCUCCCCAACUGCGGCUCUUCCUCCAAGGCCACCCUCUUCAACCAAGUCUUCAUAGGAGAUUCCAAUUCCUGGUCAGAUUUUGUCUCCACAGGCCGGUCUAUUUCAGUCACCAACAACAAAAGCCCACCUCCAAAGUCCAAACUCACCCUCUCCUUACAACACAGCAAUAUUUUUCAUCACUGCUUCAAGCUAUAGCUUCAGCAUCAAGAAAAUCGGAACUCACUUGUUUUUGUGCCCGUGAGGCAUAAGCGCCUCCAGCGGUUGCUGCUUCGGAUUGUGAGAGAGAAUAAUUACUGUGCUUUUUGUUUAGGUAAAGAUGGAUGACCCUAAUUGUGUAAGAGAAAAGAACAUGCAAGAGCUGCUAGGGAUUCCUUGCCAAACUUUUGGCAUCAAUUGGCAAUAGGUCUAGAAGAGAACGUAAGGAAACAAUUAAGGAGGUGUAUUGCAGCCUAGGUCCAAGUUAUGGUUUUGGGUUAACUAAGAGGUCCAAUGCAAAUUCAUGUCCAGUUUCAACUUCAUGUUUAAUUCCAGCUUUACAGAAAAAAAAAACCUCCUUCCAAUCACAAGUUGGACUAGAAUCUCUCAUCUUUGAUUAUUAUACAUAGUGGAAUAAAUUUUCUUUUCUAUUACUUAUGUAUGUGUGUGAAAACGUUUAUGACUAUCAAAUGAUUCACCUACAAGAUCGACAAAAGUUGGAAGGAGUUCUUUCUCCUUCACAUUUAGAGGACAUGGAAUUUGCUCAAUCUCUAGGCAGAACAGAGUGAACAUAAAGAAAUGUUAGUUUAUUUGCUGGGUUAUUUUUAAGUUCUCUCAGUAUGUGUAAUUUCUCCUGGACAACUUAGCUCAAUUACCAAUGAUGCUGGGUUUCAUUAAAUAAACUUUUAGUUCAAGUCUCAACUGUGAAAUGGUAAUGUGAUUGAGCAUUAAUCUUAUUGCACGUUUUCAAGGCUAUUUGCAAUUGAGCAGUUCAUCAGAAUUGUAACAUUUCGGUACUCAUUCUGCAAGGAUAUGAAGAAAAGGUACUUAUGCUUUUACAAGGAAGGCUUCAAUUCAGUUUCUGCUUUCAAGCUGAGACGUGUUACUCUAUGACGUUGUCUUGGUUGCCAUCAGUCGAAUACCGAUAAUCGAAGACAAAGUUUGGUUAUGUCAAGCUCUCAUCCAAACUUUUCACAUUUCACUUGGAAUGUUGCUGCUUGGGCAGACAAUGAAGUUGGUAGUACUUGCAUUGUUGAUGAUCAUGUACUAUUUUUUAUUCUAAUUAGCAGUCUUGAUAGGAAAAUCUGUAGUUCACUUUUUCAACCACAAAUCUGAAAGAAGGUUGUUGCGAUAAUGGCAUCGGGUUGCUCUUUAAAAUUUACGGGGACUGCUAUGAUUUUCUGUAGCUGCAAAACCCA